rnacentral:rRNA from 1 species
GACGAACGCUGGCGGCGCGCCUAACACAUGCAAGUCGAACGAGCGAGAGGAGGUUUACUUUCUCAAGCGAGUGGCGAACGGGUGAGUAACGCGUGAGGAACCUGCCUCAAAGAGGGGGACAACAGUUGGAAACGACUGCUAAUACCGCAUAAGCCCACGACCCGGCAUCGGGUAGAGGGAAAAGGAGCAAUCCGCUUUGAGAUGGCCUGGCGUCCGAUUAGCUAGUUGGUGAGGUAAUGGCCCACCAAGGCGACGAUCGGUAGCCGGACUGAGAGGUUGAACGGCAGCAUUGGGACUGAGACACGGCCCAGACUCCUACGGAAGGCAGCAGUGGGGAAUAUUGCACAAGGGGGGAAACCCUGAUGCAGCGACGCCGCGUGGAGGAAGAAGGUCUUCGGAUUGUAAACUCCUGUUGUUGAGGAAGAUAAUGACGGUACUCAACAAGGAAGUGACGGCUAACUACGUG